UUUAAAUCAACUUCGAAGUGAAAAGUGAAUAAAGUGGCAUUUUCUGAUGUAUUCGUGGUAAGUAAUACGUACGUAUAUGUAUGAAACAUACCGAAGACUUAUCUUCGUAUGUAUUUGUCUUUUUCAGGUGAAUGAAAUCAUUCAUUCUUGGGUUGCUGGGCUAUGUGGCCACAAUCUUUGCGAUGAAAGAUUGGCCCAUAGCAAACCCAUAAUGGUCCCGGGACCUGGAUGACCAUCUUGGCGGAGCAAGAUGAGAUCAGAUUGGCCAAUCAAAGCAAAGUGGGCGAUCCCCUCCCGGCAGUUCUGCAGGUGGGGAAAACGAGGUGAAAGGCGCAAUACCUCGCAUUUUCCGCCGGUCCUGCCAACCCCGGUAUGGAUCCCCGAUGAUAAAUCAUGGUAAGUCGGAUCUAUUUUUACUUGCAUGCUAGCCUUUCUUCACGACCGCUCGGAGUCUUUCAUCCGUCGGUCCGACUAAUUAAGGACUAACCGCUAACGAUUCUCAUAACAACUAACACAAUCGACUAACAAACCAUAGUCCUUCGGUGUUAUUUAAUUGUUAAAAACGGUUCAUUCUCUCUCUUUCCAGAUCACUCCACUCCAGCGAUGUUUGCCGCCGGCAUCUGGGGAAAAACAAUACUCCCGCGGCUAUCCGGAUUUAUGGCAAACUGCCGAAGAAAAUUGAAGUGAAGUGGAAAGAAGCAACUGAAUAAAGUUUUGAAAUCUUA